CAACUAGGAACACAUUUCAACCAAAGAUUGCAUAAGGAAGUAUCAAAACAUAAAUCUACUUGCUAUUACAAGCAUUCAUCUCACAUAUUACAUUUUACAUUACAAAUUACAUUCGUUUACAUUCAACUUCCAAAUACAAUCCAAUUAUAUUAAAUUUACUACCAGUUUAUUACAUCUUGUUCUUUCAUUUUUCUCUACCCCUAGGCUAUGCCGACUUGGGGUACCACUAUCUCUGGUCUCGGUGGUAGGGCGCUAUCUAUGGAGCUACGCCCUUGCCUCGCGCCGCCGCGCCGCUCACGUGUGAACCUGUAACACCCCGAAACAACGUGGGGUGAGAACUAACUCCAUAGUUCCCAGUG
rnacentral:lncRNA from 1 species